rnacentral:rRNA from 1 species
GUUUGAUCCUGGCUCAGAUUGAACACUGGCGGCAUGCCUUACACAUGCAAGUCGAACGGCAGCGCGGACUUCGGUCUGGCGGCGAGUGGCGAACGGGUGAGUAAUGCAUCGGAACGUACCUUUCAGUGGGGGAUAACGUAGCGAAAGUUACGCUAAUACCGCAUAUUCUGUGAGCAGGAAAGCAGGGGAUCGCAAGACCUUGCGCUGAUGGAGCGGCCGAUGUCAGAUUAGCUAGUUGGUGGGGUAAAGGCUCACCAAGGCGACGAUCUGUAGCGGGUCUUAGAGGAUGAUCCGCCACACUGGAACUGAGACACGGUCCAGACUCCUACGGGAGGCAGCAGUGGGGAAUUUUGGACAAUGGGCGCAAGCCUGAUCCAGCCAUGCCGCGUGAGUGAAGAAGGCCUUCGGGUUGUAAAGCUCUUUCGGCCGGGAAAAAAUCGCUUGGGUUAAUACCCUGAGUGGAUGAUGGUACCGGAAUAAGAAGCACCGGCUAACUACGUGCCAGCAGCCACGGUAAUACGUAGGGUGCGAGCGUUAAUCGGAAUUACUGGGCGUAAAGCGUGCGCAGGCGGUUUUGUAAGACAGGCGUGAAAUCCCCGGGCUCAACCUGGGAACUGCGUUUGUGACUGCAAGGCUAGAGUAUGGCAGAGGGGGGUGGAAUUCCACGUGUAGCAGUGAAAUGCGUAGAGAUGUGGAGGAACACCAAUGGCGAAGGCAGCCCCCUGGGCCAAUACUGACGCUCAUGCACGAAAGCGUGGGGAGCAAACAGGAUUAGAUACCCCGGUAGUCCACGCCCUAAACGAUGUCAACUAGGUGUUGGGUGGGUAAAACCAUUUGGUACCGUAGCUAACGCGUGAAGUUGACCGCCUGGGGAGUACGGCCGCAAGGUUAAACUCAAAGGAAUUGACGGGGACCCGCACAAGCGGUGGAUGAUGUGGAUUAAUUCGAUGCAACGCGAAUAACCUUACCUACCCUUGACAUGCCAGGAACUUGCCAGAGAUGGCUUGGUGCCCGAAAGGGAGCCUGGACACAGGUGCUGCAUGGCUGUCGUCAGCUCGUGUCGUGAGAUGUUGGGUUAAGUCCCGCAACGAGCGCAACCCUUGUCGUUAAUUGCCAUCAUUUAGUUGGGCACUUUAACGAGACUGCCAGUGACAAACCGGAGGAAGGUGGGGAUGACGUCAAGUCCUCAUGGCCCUUAUGGGUAGGGCUUCACACGUCAUACAAUGGUCGGUACAAAGGGUUGCCAAGCCGCGAGGCGGAGCCAAUCCCAGAAAGCCGAUCGUAGUCCGGAUCGCAGGCUGCAACUCGCCUGCGUGAAGU